rnacentral:lncRNA from 1 species
AAAGCCAACCAGCCUUUGAAAAGGCUCUGGAGACCUCAAGGGGAAGGGGCAAAAGAACAUGCUAAUGAACCCAGCAGAAAGCCUUGAGUGGUUUAAGAUGAACAACUUGAGAAGGAGGCCUGUGUCUUGCUGGCCUUGGAAUCCUUCCUGGCUGUACUGAAGAACCAGCAAGGGCCCCAGCUCCUACAUUUACUCUCCAGUGUCCCCUCUGGUGGGCAUUCGUCAUCCCUUCCACCACACAGCUACCCACCAUCUAACCUUUGGCUGUUUUUCUCCUGUAACCCCGAAGAAGAGACAAUUCCUACUUAGAGAAGGGCAGCCUCUCCAACCCUGGAGAACCUCCCAGACGGUUUCCAGAAAUCCUCUUUCUGCAGGUCACGCCUUUGUGUGAUCCUUCUAUCCUGUGUUAGAGACAGCAGUGCCUGCUGAGCCUGCCAGAUCAGGUUAUAAAAAUAGUGACCCUCCCCUACCUCCAGACUCCCUCCCUCCACCCCACCCCCAGCACUUCCUCCAAGCUGCCAUUUUGUGAAUGGUUCUGUGGAGAAACUUGGAAGACAAGGAGCUGGCAAAGGCAGCUAAGGGACUGAACCGGAAGUCCUCCUCUCCCUACCCCGAGACAACAGCAUCUGCCCGCCCGAGGUUUUGCUUAGGAAGGAUUCUGGGCCACAGGCGCUCAACGAGGUAAGCCUGGAGAUAGUCAAUGGUUGUUUUAAGAUGAGUUUUUAAAUCUCUUAUUAUUUUACAGGGCUAUGCAAGACCAUCUUAACACACAUGUGGAAUGCACUCUGAGUAUAAUUCCCCCAAACUCAGCCGCCCUCAGGUUAACCCCCAACUGUCACCCUAUGAUACUUACAUGUCACACCAAAGCAUAUGUGACUUUUUGUGUCUAUAAAGUCUAGGAAACACAUGAGAGAACCUAUGUUUGCCUUCCUUUGAUUGGUUUAAUUUCUUGAUAUGAUUAUCGCCAAUUGUAUCUAUUUUCCUGCGACAGAUAUAAAUUUCAUUACUUAUGGUUGAUGAAAGAGACAGUGUAUAUAAAUCCCAUCUUCUUCAUGUGUUCCGCUGUGGACAGACACCUAGAUUGAUCCCAGAACUUAAUAUUGUGAAUAAUACUGCAGUAAAUUGCUGAGGGCAAGUCUCUCUGUGAAAUGUUGACUUGGACUUUUUAUUGAGACUCUAUCUCGCCCCCAAUCAGGUUGGCAGUCAUCAACAAAACAAAUGUCUAGGUGAUGAGGAUGAGGACAAAAGGGAAUGCUUAUACAUCGUUGGUGAGGAUGUAAAUAAGUCAGCCUACUGUGGAGGUCUCUCAAACAUUUAAAACUUGGAUCUGCAGAGAGGGCUCAGUGGUUGAGAGUGCUUGCUGCCUUUCACUGUUUGUUGCUCUGUGCAGAAGAGUGGAUUUCAGCGUCUCUAGCACCCACACUGGUUGUUGGCUCGCAACCUGAUGUUAACUGCAGCUCCAAAUCUGAUGCUCUCUCCUGGCAUCCAUAGGCAUCCGUUCUCGUGUAUGUACACGCACACGCACAAAUAAAAAACAAUCCCUGAAAACUGACCUGUCCCAGACUUGCUGUGCUGCCUCUCCUGGCUAUUUCCCCGGAGCCUUUGAGCUUUGCCAUGAGCUGUUACCCAGGAA